GGACUUCCCUUAAAAUGGACUCGCGCGCGCCGGCGGUUGGUGCACCUCCUUAUUAGCGGUUGAAGGGUGAGUUUUCGUGGGUCACCUGCCCGUAAGACUGGGAGGCUCCCUGGAACCGGGGCUGGAUCGGACCUUGUUUGAACCGCAUGGUUCAGACAUAAAAGGUGGCUUCGGCUACCACUUACAGAUGGACCCGCGGCGCAUUAGCUAGUUGGUGAGGUAACGGCUCACCAAGGCGACGAUGCGUAGCCGACCUGAGAGGGUGAUCGGCCACACUGGGACUGAGACACGGCCCAGACUCCUACGGGAGGCAGCAGUAGGGAAUCUUCCGCAAUGGACGAAAGUCUGACGGAGCAACGCCGCGUGAGUGAUGAAGGUUUUCGGAUCGUAAAGCUCUGUUGUUAGGGAAGAACAAGUGCCGUUCGAAUAGGGCGGCACCUUGACGGUACCUAACCAGAAAGCCACGGCUAACUACGUGCCAGCAGCCGCGGUAAUACGUAAGUGGCAAGCGUUGUCCGGAAUUAUUGGGCGUAAAGGGCUCGCAGGCGGUUUCUUAAGUCUGAUGUGAAAGCCCCCGGCUCAACCGGGGAGGGUCAUUGGAAACUGGGGAACUUGAGUGCAGAAGAGGAGAGUGGAAUUCCACGUGUAGCGGUGAAAUGCGUAGAGAUGUGGAGGAACACCAGUGGCGAAGGCGACUCUCUGGUCUGUAACUGACGCUGAGGAGCGAAAGCGUGGGGAGCGAACAGGAUUAGAUACCUGGUAGUCCACGCCGUAAACGAUGAGUGCUAAGUGUUAGGGGGUUCCGCCCUUAGUGCUGCAGCUACGCAUUAACACUCCGCCUGGGGAGUACGGUCGCAGACUGAACUCAAAGAAUUGACGGGGCCCGCACAGCGGUGGAGCUGUGGUUUAUUCGAAGCACGCGAAAACCUUACAGGUCUUGACAUCUCUGACAUCCUAGAAUAGGACUCCUCUUCGGGGCAAAUGACAGGGGGGCAUGUUGUCGCCACUCGUGUCGGAGAUGUGGGUUAAGUCCCCCACGAGCCCACCCUUGAUCUAGUUGCCACCUUCAGUGGGCACUCUAAGGGACUGCGGUGACAACCGGAGGAGGGGGGAUGAGUCAAUCAUCUGCCCUUAGGACUGGGCUACCACGUGCUAAAUGGGGAAAAAAGGGCGCNAACCCGGGGUUAACCAUCCCACAAUUGUUUCAGUUGGAAGCGGUCGCACUCACUGGGGAAGGGGAACCUUAAAACCGGAAACCAGCCCGGGGAAA
rnacentral:rRNA from 1 species